AGAUCUGGGGCACAGCCCUGGCUAAUCAGCUUUUCCUCAUAGAUUCCUCAAUGCAUCUCUAUGAGGAAAGUUCAGUGUCUGCAUGGAGACAUCGAAUGGCAGUUCUGCACAGUGUGCAGCACUGUCCCAAGAAGCACCCCCAGCAGCCAUCUGAGGAGUGGCCAUUGGAGGUAUCCCUACGCGGUAAUGUAAACACUGCAUUUUCUCUG